ensembl:snRNA U2 U2 spliceosomal RNA
GUGGCUCCUCGCCUGUAGGCUAAGAUCAAGCAUAGCAUCUGAUCUUUGGUUUAGUAUCUGAUACAUCCGCUAUAUAAGGACUACAUAUUAAACGGAUUUUGGAACAUGGAGAGGGAAUAGGUGCUUGCUCCCUCUUUAUUCGUUUCAGCUCAGUGAAAUAUGU